rnacentral:lncRNA from 1 species
GGCGGUGGUGGUGGUGGUGGAGGGAGGAGGGUGGGUUGAGUACAACAAGUGUAGGAAGACGGGUUGCAGCAGCAGUUGGUGGAAGGAGGAGAGGGUUGGUGGUGGUUGUGGUGGUGGUUGCGGUGGUGAGAGGCCAUUGAGUUAGUUAGUGUGACGGUGGAGGUGGAAGAAGAGUGUUUGAGGCUGUCUUCAACUUUUGAAGGGUUUUUGGUUUUGGAAAUUGGAAUCAAAACUAUGUGCUUUGGGUAACUUCAGCGACCAUUAAUCACUGUCAGUGUCAAAGUGAACUUUUAUUUACAUCCGUCAAACUACAAAGUUAUACUGUUUGGUUUUUUUCUACCGUUUUACUCUUUCUAAUAGGAGAAAGAAUUAUAUAUUAAAAAUUGGACAAAAAAAAAAUAUAUGUAUUGAUUGUGUAUGAAUUUGAUAUAUUAUUAUCAUUUAUUAGUCUGAUAAGGUAAUCUAAUUAAAAGAGUAAAGUACAUAAACAUUCACUGAGUUUUAAUAAAAAAAUUUAAAACUAUACAAAUCACCCAUAGUUAUAUACAUAUAUUAUAAUAAUUACCCUAUAGAGAGAUAAAUGUAAUUUCUUAAAUAAUAAAUGGAGACGAGUAUAAUUAAAAUAAACAAAAUAUGAUACAUUGUGAGGACAAAUCCAAAAAGUAUAAGAGUUGAUGUCUAUUCAUUAUUUUGGUUAAGUACAAUAUAAUAUAAGAGUGAUUUAAACACCUCAUUAGAAUUAUUGAUAUAGUUUGUAACGAAUAAAAAAUAAUGAAUUGACAUCAUUUAGAAUUAUCAAUGCAUUGGUGACUCAUUAUGAUUUUGAAUUACACCAAAUGGAUGUGAAAACCGCCUUUCUAAAUGGGGAUUUAACAGAAAAUUCUAUAUGGAUCAACCGAUGGGAUUCAUUGAGAAAGGAAAAGAACACAUGGUAUGUAAACUAAAGAAAUCAGUAUAUGGACUUAAACAAGCUUCGCAACAGUGAUAUCUUAAGUUUAAUGAUAUUGUUGUAUCCUUUGGGUUUAAGGAAAACAUUGUUUAUCGAUGUAUAUACCUAAAGGUCAAUGAGAGUAAAUUUAUUUUUUUGGUUCUAUAUGUUAAUGACAUCUUGCUUGUAACUAAUGAUCUUGGUCUUUUAAAUGAGACUAAGAUGUUUCUCUCCAAAAAAAUUGAAAUGAAAGAUAUGGGGAGGCAAACUAUGUGAUUGAAAUAAAAAUAUUUUGCGAUAGAUCACAAGGAAUUUUAGGCUUGUCUUAGAUAGCACAUAUUAACAAAAUUUUAAAGAGAUUCAGAAUGCAUAAAUGUUCAGCAUCUCCCAUUCCAAUUCAGAAAAGAGACAAGUUUGGUAUGAUGCAAUAUCCAAAGAAUGAUUUAAAACGGAAGCAAAUGGAAGAAAAUUCUUAUGCAUUUAUAUUUGGGGGUUUAAUGUAUGCUCAGACUUGUAUGGGACAAGAUAUUAGUUUUGCAGUUGGAAUGUUACAAAAAUACUAGAGUAAUUUUGAUAUAGAACAUUGGAAAGCUGAAAGAAAGUUCUGAGAUACUUACAAUAGACUAUCAUUGCUGCAUUCACUAUGGAAGCUGAAUUUGUGGCAUGCUUUGAGGCCACAGUUCAUGCUAAAUGGUUACAAAACUUUAUUUAGGACUUGGGGUUGUCGAUAGUAUUGUCAAGCUGCUGAAAAUUUAUUGUAAUAAUUCUGCAGCAGUCUUCUUUUCUAAAAAUGACAAGUAUUCCAAAAGUGCUAAAUAUAUGGAGGUGAAAUACUUUACCGUUAAAGAAGAAGUUCAAAAACUUAGAGUGUCAAUUGAUAUAUUAGCAUUAACCUUAGGAUUGCAGACCCUUUGACAAAAAGGUUACUGCCCAAAAUAUUUACUAAUCAUGUAAAAGAUACGGGUAUUGUGUCUGCAAAUGAAUGUUGAACAUUAUGUUAUAAAGUCUCAAUAUUUUGACACUUCGAGCUCGUUAAUAUUUAAGUUUUUUAUUAAUAGUUUAUUUUCACACUUAUGUACAAAUGUGAGAAUGAUAAUAUUGAAAAUAAAAUUUUCUUUCUAAAUAACAUUAUUAUUCCCUUUAAUGUGUCAUGUUAGGAUUAAGGCUAAUAUAGUAGUUCAUGGAAUAAACUAUAUCGAAUAAAUGACGUACAACUGUCAUGACUCUUAUUAGUUCUUGUUCUUAAUCAUGAUUUUUAAUGUAAUGAAUAUGGAAAACAUAUUCUGAUUAUGCACAUUAUGUUAGAUAUAUAUAAUAUAUUUACUUGUAUUGUCACGUGAGACAAGUGAGAGAAUGUAAGAAUGUCUCUUUGAUAUGAAGGGAUAUACUAUUUUGUUUUGAAUAGUAUAACUCUUGAAUUAGAGAGUUGUGAAUGAAAUGGUAAGACUCUUGGAAAAGAGUCUAUAUAUGUAUAGUGUUUGAUGGUAGCAUUAUACUCAUCAGAAAAAGGACUUGAAACAUUGUCUUUAUCUCUGUCCAGAAAGUUUGUCUCUAUCAGCCAUCAAUAAAGAAAGACACAGAAAGGAAGGGAAAGAGAUAGAAAAGUUUCUCUAUUGACCAAGAACAAUACACCAUAACAAGGAGAAUCAUGUCGCCAUGGAUAAAAGUAACCUAUAAUCAUUCUUACUAUAUGAAAACUAUGAAUUCUUAAGACUCAUUUACAAAUUAUUUUCAUCAUAAAAUUUACAGUUUUUUGCAAGUAUUUCCAUUAUUAUUUCUGGUGAUUAAGGGGAGUCUUCUAAUAUUGAUGAGUUGUUACCUUUGCUAUAAUCCAUAGUUAUAAAAACAAUACCGUAUCGGCCGGUUCAACCGGAAAACCAGUGAACCGGACCCCUAACCGGUACGGUACAGGUGUUGAACCGGCCAAGUAUCAAAACCGGUCAAAAACGGUCAAAACCGGUGAACCGGCCGGUAUUUUACUAAACCGGUUCGUUUAUACACACAUAUAUAUAUAUAUAUAUUUUAAAAAACUUAAAAAAUUAAAAACUCAUUACAAGGUGACCCAUCUUUCCAACUCUUCUUCAACACUUGAAGGCACAUGCUUCCAAAGUAUACUUAGAUUACACAUUUUGAUUCCUAACAUUCAUGUGUAAUCUUAGUGACAUUUGUGUUUGGAGUACUGUCUGAUAGGGUUUGGUAGAAAAAUAUAAUAUUCAUAUAAGAUAACUUUGACUUCUUGAUGUUAAAUGUUAAAACUCUAAAUUUAUUUGUUUUAUAGAGUGAGUUGUGAAGUUAUGUCAUUUAUUUAUAUUUUGUGGUUGUUAAGUGAUACUUUUGGAUUGAUAUAUGUUUUUUAAUUUAGACUUUGAAUUUGUUAAAGACUUAAAGUUGUUUAUUUAUGUGAAUUUUGAGUAGAUUAUAAAUAUGGAGUAUAAAUUUGAGUAUCUACCUAUUUGGAAUUUUUUUGUUAUAAGUUUAUAUAUAUAUAAAUAUAAUUAGGUAUGUCCGGUUUAAUUGGCAUGCGGUUUAAUUACUGAACCACUGGUUGAACCAUUGAACGAUUAUACCAGUACCCUGGCCGGUUUGAUAACCGGUACGGUUUUAACAACACUGAUGACAAUACUCUUUGCAUGAUGGACUUUAAUCCUAGCUCUCUUACUGUAACUAAUGAAACUAUGGUAAGAAUCCCUGACCUUCUGCACAUUUAAUGGCUUCCUGAUACAAGUCUUGGCCUUCUGUAAAUUAUCCUGGAUCUAAGCACAAAUAAUAUAUUCUUUGUGAUUCGCUUACGAGUUAAAUUUUGAAGGAAAAAGAAAUGAAAUAAAGACUCCAAAGCCAUGAAAUAUACUACACUUUUGAGAUGACUCUGAAACCUUAUAUUUUCUUUUAUACCCGUCUGAAAUCCAACUCGCAAAUAUACUAUUGGUAUUCUUCAAUCUCAAACAUCUCCUAGCUACAUCCAAUGAAACUGAAGGCAAUAAAAAACAUAGCGUGCUAGUUUCUCUAUCCUCUCAAUCUCUGCCAAACUUAACAGUUGGAACAGGUGACCAAAAAUUCAUCCUGAAAUAUUGUGAGUAAUAUUCUUGUGUAAAUUUCUGCUAAAUACUAUUAGAAGUGGUGUGUAAAGACUUGGUUAGCAUAAAAUGUUUCAAUAAUCUCCUAUAUUUCUAUAUCGUAUAGAGAGAGCAUCAGCAUUUGCUGCACAAAAUCUUGUAACGUCUUGCAUUCUCAUAGCAAUAAAAAGUGAAUUCACACUUGCACUUCAGUUGGUGGCAAUGUAGCACACAGCACAAAAUCUUUGUUAAAUAGAUGUAUAUUGAAUAGAGAAUAAUGUAUUAAAUACAUAAUUUUUUUUAUAAUCGAGUGGAUUUAAGUAGAUAAGUUAUUUCCUAAUAUAAGGUGAUAAUUUAUUCUCUAUUAAAUAUAUUUAACAAGUAUAUAACAACUUUAAGAAUGUAUAUUAAUAAGUUUAACAAUUAUAUAAUAAAAUGUGGAGAUUGAUAAUAUUUGAUUGUUGAAGGAUUUAUAACCAAAUUAUGUUGAUUAUUGAGAAAAUUAAUGACCCAAUUAUGUUGAUUAUUAAUGGAAUCCAUUGAUUGAUCUACGAAUAAAUAAACAAAUUCUAGUCAUAUAUGUUGUGGCCAAACUUUUGAUCAUGAAUUAAAAGUUUGAAACGAUUAAUGUCAUAUUAAAAAAAACAUUAUCAUGUAUUUGCCAAUGCUGCAUUUGCCUAAAAUUCUUUGUUAAGGCAUAUCAGGUUGUCCAUAAAAAUCUUCACUCGGUAAAUAAAACAUCUCAACAUUAUAGUUUUGACAUUUCUGAUCUUAGUAAUCUGGUUUAGAAAAUGAGUAUCUGCAAUAGCAUACCCCUUUGCACCUUGUUUUUCAUUAUUAGAUCAGAAGCACCCAACAUAGGAUUUCAUAUACUACAAAGCAACAACUUAGAACAUAUGCAGUAAAAGUGUUUGGGACUCAUGAACAGCUCAAGUUAUUACAGUACAUCCUAUAUUCAAAAUUGACAAAAAAAAAUGUCAGAGUUAUAACAGACAUAGAAACAAAAUUACUCAUUCUAACAAACUAACACCGGUUUCAAUUUUAUUUAUGAUGAAAUGCCACUCAUCUUUAAAUAAUACAUAAACUUGUCCUCCAAAAAAUUGUAGCAGAUAUUAAAAGAGCAAAUAUUGCUUUCCCAGAGAUACAUCACUGUUAGUUCCGCAACAGAUGAAUGCAGAGUUAGGCAAACACAAAUUUAUAAUUUGUCCUCUCAACAGAACACAAGAGUAAUGCUCAAAACCUGCAGUAAUUCCAAUCAUAAAGGUGUGAAGAUAUGCAGCAAAAGGAAAAUCAGACACAUGAUGCAGAACAAAGAAGCAAUUUGAAAAAAUGAACAUUUCCUAUUCAUGCUACAGCAACAAUAGCUUCCAACUUACAUCUCUUAGAAGAGUUCAGUCUCAUAAAAAGCAAUCUAAUCUUGUUAAAAUGUUUCCUUACAUUUUCUUUAUCCGCAGAGACCGGACAUCAGCCCCACUAACCCCGUUUUCAAUCUCUUUUGUGCUUUCUCUUGCACAUGAUCAAAUUAUAGAGAUAUAAGCAAAUUGUGCACCAUGAUAAUUACCCUUUUCUAUUAUUAGUCAGGCAUAGUAAAAAUUGGGACUCGUUCAUGUCCAAGCAGCCCAAACAUGAUGACAUUAUAAAUUCACUUGAAUGUAGAUAGUGAAAUAUAUAGAAUUGAAGUAGUUAAGUACUUUUACCAACUGCACCAGAAUCAUCAGAAAUACAUGGUGGAUUAAAUUUCAAAUGUAGUACAACUUCAGACAGGAUUGUUUCAAUACUAGAAGGGUCAAGCCAAUCUUUGAGUGAUUACAAGUAUGAAUAGGAUCAAUACUCAGACCAAAUUAUUCUAGACAACUUAAAUAUUCUCUAGCCAAUAGCAACCGCGAAUCUAGGAACGCGGUCUACAGAUACACAUGCAUAACAAUAUAUGUGCAUAUGUCAGUCUCAAAAUAUCAAUUCAUUAAGGGAGAGGAAAGAAAUUAUCUAAAAAUAAAAAAAAUUAGGGUUUUUAACCCAAAAUUGAGCCUAAAAAAAACCCGCCAUGGCCUGCUAUUUCUUUCAUAAUACCUAGCCAGGAAAGUACAUUCACCCCCUUUUCACCAUGGUACUUCCACCGUCAUGACACCUCUUUCGUGUAAAUGACAAACAAGGCGAUAUGGCAAAAUUUUAGAAAUAGUUAAUAGCUAUGGCACCACCGUGGCGGCUAUUUAACACCACUAAUUGUAACUUUCAUCUAAGACUGAUUUUACGCGACUCCUUUAAAAAGUAUAGAUGUAAACUUCAAAACCCAAUUCCGGUCAGUAUAGUUUAUCCUAGUUUUUGAGUUAAUCCAUAUAUUUUAGAAACCCUUUUAAGUGAACACUCUUGGCAGUAAUGGUUAUGAAAUUAGUCACUGCUAUUAGACAAAAGUGAUAACAUGGUUAAACUUUAUCUUAGAUAGGUAAAGGAAGUUGAUGUGUCACCACAACUACAUAACGGCAUGUCAACCUAAAGGAUAAAAUUUUACAUUCAUCUAAACAUAGCUAUACACAGUCGGUCAUAAAAGCUGAAGCUUAUGUUAAGCGGUCGACAACCAACAUAAAACUCGGCCGAAUCUUUAUGAUAUGAUGUACACAUAAGAGCUAACCUAUCAUCAGAUGUAAAAUAUUUUAACCUUCCCAUUCCACGUUAACCACACCAUCCAAACAUGUCCUUAAAAACUUGAUAAAGACAUGACAGUUACAAAUUGAUAACCGCCUUAAGUCAUGAAUUAUGCAAAUAUAAAACAAAUUAUUCACUCAAUUUCUCCAUCAUCAAACAAAUCAUCAUUCAACUAUUAACCAUAAAAUAAAAUAAAACAGUGAAAUUGAAAUUGACAGUUACCAUGAUUUGGAGGGGUAUUUAGGGGUUUUCAAUCUCCAUGACGCUCCUAAGCGGAGGCGCGUGGAGAGAGUAAACAACGGCCUGCCGUUUUGCAACAUCGAGCUGAGACUUUCCGUCAGAGAAGGAUGAGGAAAUCGAAGAAGUCUCGGAAAGGUUACGGUUUUGAUGAAACGCAUCGAUGGUGCGUCGUUUGGUGUAUUCCCUGAUGUUGUAAUCUGGGAAAUUGCGUGCCACGCGUAAGAGGGAGCGAAAGAGAGAAAGAAUUUCUGGUCGAGAAGGUGCCAAUGUCAUCGUUACAGACUCUCUUUCGCAACUCGAUCAACAGAAGAAGUUUUGGCCAAUCCUAACCUAAAUCUUUUUUGUGUUUUUUGGUUUUAUUAACCUGCUAUAUAGGGAGGGUAUAAGGAUUUGUUGUCCCAAAUCUUGUCUCAAACUCUAUUCUAGACCAAUUAUACCAUGCCAUGUCAGUUAAAAUUAAUUAAAUAUUCAUAACUUUAUCAGUUUUAUUUCAUUAUGAUUGGUUAGAGAUGUGGUUGAGGGAUAGCAGAUCCUCAUCCAUAUAGAGGAAAGCUGUCAAAAUGAGCUAUGGGUUCGGGUAGGUCUACUUUGAGUCCAGGUUCACUUUGAGUCGGCCGAAUGAUAGAAAGAGGUUUGGCGGCUUAUCAGAGGCUUAGUACCUGAUUUAUGAUAGAUUAUGUUUAACUAUUUUUUAAAAAAAAUAAGUUAAGCUGAAAGUUCUUAAAAAGCUUAUUUAAUCUAAAUAGAUUAUCUACAAACUUUUUAAAAAGUCAUUAAGUCUAAACAUGUUAUUUUAUAUAAUUUUCUUUGGUACUAGUAAGAAUAUUUCAUCACCUUAUGAGUAAGAAAUUAAUUAUUUUUAAGAUUCGUAAUUACCUUUUCCAAUACAUUGUUGGUCUAUAUAAUUUAUUAUGUAUCUAUAUUAAUUAUUUUAUAUCAUAUAUAUACAAUAUAUAUAUAAAUCAUAUUGCAAUGUGGUAUUGAAAAUUUGAGAUGUCAGAUUUGUAUAUUUGUCUUAGAUUAUAUCAAGCUUUUAAAUGAACUAAUAAAUGAUAUCAAACUUUUAAACAGAUAUAGACCUCCAAAAAAACUUAUCCAUAAAAAUAAGUCAGACUUAGAUUGUAAUAUGUUAAAUAUAGUAGGUAUUUUCAACACAUAGUUUGGUCUGACUUGACAUGUUUCAUCUUUAAGUUCUACAAAAAAAAUAUCUAACUUGUAUUCAAGUGAUUAAAAUAAUGUUUAAAAUUGUUCAAGAGGCUUAUGAAUUUACCAGAGUUGACCCGAAAAACUUUUCUAAUAAAUAAAAUAAAUUCAAUAUGCAUAAGCAUUUGACAUUUCCAACUCCAUAAUAUUAAUAUUUUGAUAAUUUUAUAUUUCAAAUUUAGACAUAAAAAAUAGUACAAUAGUAAUGACCAAACAACAAUAAUAGAAAACAAAAAUAAAAGAAGUAGCAAAAGACAGAAACAAAAAUAAAUUAUAAUUCCAUAUCAUAUGUAAUGAUGAGAUUAUAAUCCACAACCACAAUAUUAUAAUUAUAUACAUGAUAUGAUCCACAAUUGAUACAAUUUCAAAUUUCUAAAGAACUUUUUGGUAGUAAGACUUGGUUAAGAUUAAUAUUUAAUUUUUUAAAAUUUUAAUCCGUUUAUUUGUUUGAUUGUAGUGGUUUUUCAACACUCACAUUAGCUUUUCAUAGGUUUUUUUAUUGUGAUUAAUUACAACAAGCAUCACUACCUAGAGAUAAAAUAUAUGUCUUGUUUGUUGAAUUCAAAAGUUAUGGAGGAGGGUACCAACAAUAAUUGUAGUAUAAAGAUCCAUAUUUUUUGUACUAUGAAUAUUACCUUAUGGGUAAGUAACAUCUUUUAAGGAUUACUUUCAGGAAUUGAGCUCUUUACCUGAUUAUUCUGAGAUCUAGUAAAGUCUUAUACUAUUAGAUUGGUAAAAAGAAAAGAAAAUAAAAAUAAAGAAAACACACUAUUAAAUAUUUACCUUUUUCUGUAUCAUGUAAAUUAGUAGUAGUGAUAUUCAUAUAAAUUUGCUAAAAAAAAGCAUUGUAUAACUAUUUCACAGAUGCUACAUACUACAAUCUUCUACAAUCUUGUAAUAUCCAUCAUAAUGCUAUUGCAUCCUUUUCUUCUAUAGUCAUGUCAUUUUUCUUUCUUAGUUAUAGCAUGCAUCUGAAUGAUGUGCUUUUUCCCUUCAAGAUGCUGCUUGAAUGCACACUCAUUCAUACACCAUAAUUUGCAUAAUUGACACCAUUUUUUCUUAUGUGGAUCCUCCCCUCCUUGCAUGCUAAUUUUCAAUUUCUGCAAUUUAGCCUUGUGCUUUUUACCAUCAAAAUGCAGCUUCAGCAACGCUUCAUUCGGGCACGAAACUUCACACAUUUCACACCAUUGCCUCUGAUUGCUACUUCCCUCUUUUCCUGCUUUGUCAUUAAAUUCCAGAUCUCGCGAUUUUUCAGCGUGAUUUUGACCUCUUAGUUGCUUGAGAUUGAAUGGACUUGAGCAAGAUACUUGGCAGAUUUCGCGGUAUAAAUUUUGCGUCUUAUCUUCGUAACCAAGACUGCCAUGAAAUUGUUGUUGAGAUUGCAGAGAUGGAUCAUGAGCAUUUCUUGUCGGUUCUUUUCGCUUAGUUCCCGAAAGCAAUGGACUUGAACUUGGACCUGACAUUGACAUUGAGCAGGGAACUUCACAAGAUGGCUUAACCUGUAAAAUGAAUUUAGAUUGAUCAGAAUAGUAUUAUUCUUCAGAGAGAAUCAAAUAUUACACAAGUUAACACAAAAUGUACAUUUUUUUGGCAUAGCAAAUAUGCAAUGCAAGACUAAUUAUUAAAAGUGAUAUUAACUUCCAAUCUUUUCUUCAGAUUGAAUGGACUAGAGCAAGGUACCUGGCAGAGUCCACCGUCUAAAGUUUCCGUCUUUUCUUUGUCCUUGAGACUGCCAUGAAGUGGUUUUUGUUGUUGAUAUUGCAGAGGUGGAUGAUGAAGGCUGCUUGUUGGUUCGUUCCGAUUUGCUCUCCGAAGAAAUGGACUUGAAAAUGGCUUUGAAGUUGGACCUGGCAAUGGCAUUGGGUGGGGAAGUUGACAUGAGGGCUUAACCUAAAUAGUAAAUUGAUUCACUUUUCAUUCACAGAAAAUGGUAGCCCAAAAGAUUAUUCUAGAGAAUCUAACACUACAAAAUUUAAGACUAAAACAUAUAUUUUUGGCUAAAGGAACUAUACAAUGCAAGAGGAAGUAAAUGUGAUUUUAUAUCCAAAACUUUCCAAGAUUGAAUGGACUUGAGAAAGUUACUUGGCUGAUUUUGCAGUAUCUAUUCUUUGUCUCGGCUUUAUGAUCGAGACUGCGAUGGAAUCGGCGUUGACAUUGCAGAGGUGGAUGAUGAUCAGCACUGCUUGUUUCCUUCCCCUUAGUUCCUGAAAGUAAUAGACUUGAAGAUGGCCUUGUACUUGGACUUGGCAAUGGCUUUGAGUGUGGAACUUCACAUGAAUGUUUAACCUGAAAAAUACAUCUAGAUUUAACUAUUCGUUUAAAGAAAGUUUGACCCACAAGAGUAUUCUUCUGUGAGAAUCACAUAUUGCAGAAGUUAAGACUAAAAAUGUAAAAUUUUCACUAAUAGCGACUAUACAAUGAUACAAUGCAAGAGGAAUUAUUAAAAGUGAUAUUAUCUUCCAUUCUUUUCCUCACAAUUCUAUCAAAUGUGAACAAAUGUACACAGCAAGGUAAAAAAGGACUUAAAUUAUAAAAUCAGGAAGCAAAUUAAGCCAUGAUGCCCCAUUAUAUCUUCCAAUAAUCUCAUAAGGCAGUAAUGGCCUCAAAGAUUAGUUGCUAAACGACGACAACAAGUUUUUAUUCCACUAGGUGGGGUUGGCUACAUGAAAAUGACGUCACAAUGCCAUAUCAUAAAUCAUGUUCAUUGACAAUAUUAAUUUCUAAGUCCUUCUUUAUGAUUUCUCCUAUGUUUUUUAUUAGUCUCCCUCUUCCUCUAGGAAUUAGGCUAGCUUCCAUUUGAUCUAUUCUCCUUACAGGGUCAUAAACCAGUCUAUUACACACAUGUCCAAUCCACCUAAGGCACGAUCCUACUAUCUUUUCUACAAUAGAAGCUCGAAUUUUCUCCCUGAUGCAUUCAUUUCUAAUCAUAUCUUGCCGAGUGUGUCCACAUCCAACACAACAUUCUCAUAUCUUCUAAGUUUAUUCUCUUAUCGUCAUUUUAUCGCCCAACAUUAAUCAAUAAUGUCAAAAGAAAAUAAUGUAUUGACAAAAGUAUCUUAAACAUAACAUAACCUGAGAAGGAAUAAUCUCUUGAGUGGAAUGAGUGUUUUGGUUGAUGAGAAAUAUCAUCCUUCUAUAUGCCAGCUCCCUCAUGAUUGCAACCUCAGCUGGUAUUGUCUUUACCCCCUUAUUAUUUGUACUGCCCAUUUUCUCACCUUAAUUAUUUCCUCUGCUACUGUUUUUGUAGCAUAUUACAAUGAUCUGAAAAAUAUACAGUAACAAAUGCUUAAUCUACUCAUAAACCCACCACCAACAAAGAAAAAACCAACACAAUUUUAUACAUUUUAACUAUUCAAAUCAGUGUUCUUUCUUGUAAACACUGAUGAAUAACUUAAUGAACCUGAACCUGGUUUUGUUUAAAGAAUUAGUUGACUGUUGACUGUGUCAGAUUUGAGUGGCAAUGAAAGUGACCAAUUUAGACACUGGGAUUUUCACAGUGAAAUAGAAAAUGUACUGGUAGUUGGGGCUAUUAUUGUAAAUGUCCACUUAUAGUGAAAAGUUAGAAGAGUGUGAUAUAGAACAAAAUGAAUAAUGUACUAACAUUAUAAAAAAACUUUACAGUAUAUAGAUAUUAAAUUAAACUCAUUGUUUUGCCUUUAUUUAUUAAUAUUAAAAAUAUUAUUUUAUUAUAUAUAAAAGAAUAAAAAUGGCUUGUCAUAUUGUUAUUUUUUUUUUAUAAUAUUAGUUUCUCUCUUGCAAUGCAAAUGAUAUGUUCGUACAUUGGUUGAAUUUGUUGUACUGAGUUUCACAAUCUGGCUGGCAAGUGGCAACAUGACAAGAAGUAACAAAAAUUUAUUCAAAGAAAAAACAAUUAUGUACCCAAAAGACAAUUGGAAUUUUCUUUUUUAAAAGUGAUAUUUGGAAUUUAAAAAUUCUAAUGGUUUUAGUUGCAUAGUUAAGUACAGCUGGUCAAUCAACCCUUACGAUGGUAUUGGCUAUUCAAUCAACAUCUACUACUAUCUAUAUAUAAAUUGAAAGCCUUCAUGAUUUUACAUUAGGAGAGAUCAUAUAAUUUUGAUAUGUAAUAUUUAGAUGGUUAAUUUUAUCUAUUUAAAUUUUUUAUCCUUUACUAUUAUUUCGUAUAAUUAAAUGUAAAGUGAUUCAUUUUUUUCCUUCAAACUUCUCACUCCAUUCUUUUUAUUUUCACUCCAUUAUUGAUUUCUAAUUUUUUUUUGGAAUAGACUACAAUUUAAAAUAAUUUUGUAUCUCCAAGAAAAAAUUUAUUAAUAAGGGGUGCUUGAAAUUAUCCAAAACGGAAUUAAAAGUUACGUCUUUAACAAUUAAAAAUAAUUAUUAUGAUUAUUAUAUCAUUUGUAUUUGAUAUUACAUGGCUUACGAAUACAAGUUAGUUAACUAAUAUGUUUAUUAACUAAUAUGACAAAUGAGUAUAAAUCAUCCUAUAAAUAAUUGCCAUAUAAAAAUAAGAACAAUUGAGUAUUGUUAAGUAAUUAAUGUGCAACAACGAUGCAUUUGACAAAUAUAAAAUUUCGGAAAUUUUUUAAAGAUAAGAAUAUAAGAUUAAUUAUUUUUUCAAGCAUGAGAUGAAUAGUUUUUCCAAUUUUCCAAUAAGUUAUAUUGUUUAUGUUAUAUUAAGAGUAUUACAUGGCUUCUGAACAUCAUAUUGUUUACGUUAUAUAUUUUUACAAGAUGACUAAUAUAAAUAAGACUUUUUACACGUUAUAAACCUCAAUGGCUAAUAUUAAUGGGAUAUUUUUUAUGCAUUAUAUUAGGAAGAAUAACAUUAAUUACUAUUGGUUUACGGGACUCCAAUACAACUAGAGGGUGUGAAUAAGUGGUUUGAUAUACAAUUAAAACUUUUUGAUUUUGAAAGAUAUUUGAUGAUUUUAACUUAUUUAAUCGAUUAACAACUUAUUUAAUCAAUUAAAAUAUAUAUGAAGUUAAUUGAUUAACUCGAUCAAUUUGUUAGAAAUUUUUUUAGUUCUUGACACAACGAUAUACAACUAUCAAUAUGUUCUUUCAUGCACUUCAAUAAUUGAUUUUAUGUGAUCAAUCAUGUAACGACAAGUAUGAAAUAAUCCUAAUAUGAAUUCAAUUCAAGAUAAUGGAAAUUGAUAAUUGCUUAAAUGUAAAAGAGUAGGGAUAAGUGAAUUUGACACAUUCGAUUUUAUCCUAGUUUGAUUGUCAAUUACAGCAAUCUACAUCCAGUCCUCCCAUUCUGAUAUGGGAGAUUUGUUUUGACUAUGAAGAAUUUGGAUGUUCUUACAAACAAUCUUCCACCAAGAAUCUCUUUGACCUUCCUUAUAAUGGAUAGCCUUAUCACUUCUAGCUUAAGAUUUCUCUAAGCUCUCCUUCUAUGGUGAUACCUCACAUAUUAAGAGAUGAAUUAUUAACAAAACGUUCUUCUUGUGUACAAUGAUUUUGCACCUUUUCGUGUGCUAAUAUUCACUCAAUUCAUAAUAUCUAAACCUUCUUAAAAUAUCUCACAAUCUCAUAGUAUAAUGAUGUAUGAUCAUGAGAAGCAGAGGUUCUUGAAAUUUUGUUUGAGAUGAUGAUGAAUGCUUGAAUAUCUCUCUUCAAAAAUUCAUGAAAAGUCUCUUAUCUUGUGUCAAAGUAUCUAGCUUUCUUUUUUCAUAAACUCUCUCGUUUUAUCCUGAAAAAUGUUGCAAUUGUUCAUGGGAAUUAUUGGUUAAAAACAACCUUCAGUUUUUAUCAGUUUUAUGUUAGUUUAAUCGAUUAUGUACUUAAUUGAUGAACGUUCUUUAAAAAUCUAAAAUUUCAAAACUAAAUCUGACUUAAUUGGUUUUUUUUUUUGCCUUUUACCAAUGAUUUUUUAUUAUCACUAAAUGGUGAAUUUCUUGUAGUGAUUCAAAUAUUAUUAUUUUUACUUUUAGUUCAAUAUUUAUACCUAAAUAAUUGACAAUAGAAUGUAGGAAUUUGAAAUUAAUAUAUAAUAUAAUUAAUAAUAUCUUCAAACACACAUGUUACGUAGCAAGUGCUUGAUACACCAAUAUUCAAACAUGUGAUUCAACAACAUUCAUUACAAAGAACAUAGUUGAAUAUGUGACAAUCAAGAAUGCUCAGUUCACUUAGCGUUGUUGAAUCUAUACACCAUAAAAUUUACAACAUGUGUUUCAUUAAAAGUUUUUGAUUGGAUAAAUAUAACAACGUUUAUUUCGUUACGCAUUGUUGAAGAAUGUCGUUCCUUUGAGCUCCACCUAUCAUCUAACAACAUCCUACACAUAGGUACAACUAAAUAUGUAUUGUUGAAAGAUAAUUCUAGUGUAAUGAAUAUUGCCUACUAGUAUCUAGACAUUUAUAAAUUUAUUUUUUAACAAAUAUUUUAUAUAUAUUUUUGGUACAUUAAGAAAAAAAACAAGAAACUACAGCAAUUUAGUACUAAUAAAUUUAUAAUAAACGUAUACUAUUAUUCAUGUAAUGGUAAAAAUAUUGAUAUUAAUUAAACAUAUAAAUAUAAUUAAAGUGAAAAAUCCAUUAGAUACACACUAACUUUACAUAUAUACAUGCAAAUAGGUGCAAGUAUGAAUACAAGCAAGACUCGAACCUAUUCUUACUCAUUGCCAUUUCUAAUUAUAGGCAAUAAAAGGAGUAUCUUGACCCUAAAAUCUAUGUAGACAAAUUUGGUUUUUUCCUUUCAAUUUUUUGAAGUUCUGGAAACAGAAAGAAAAGUAUAGUAGGGUUAGUCCAGCCAAGACAUGAAGAUUGCGAGUAGUUUGGUACCUUCUUAAAGCCAACAGAAUAAGAAAAUGCAUAAGAACAGACCAUUUCCUAUGAUGUCGGUUUUGUUUUGUCCAAAUUUGGAGAUGUUGCAUGGAAGUGAGGUUAUCAUUCCCUCCAAAUAUGGCACAAACCGUUUCUGCCACUACCAUUCCCAUUUUUUCUCUCUCUUUCUCUUUCUCUUUUUUCUUACCAACCCAUCACCACAUUCAUCAUGGAGGUUCUCACAUCACCUCUCAUUUCUUCAUCUCACUGGCUUUGUCUAGGGUAUCCUUAUUUCCUCUGGAACCCUAGAUGUGGCUAGUUUUCUAUUCUAUCAAUCUGACAGAGAUAUCACCUUUGCAGCUACAUGUUUAGCUCAAACAAGUACCAUAUUUCAUCCCUUUAUUUGUGUGUCUUGUGUUGUUUUAAAUUGUGGUUGCGGACGUUUUGUUGAACAUGCUGCAAUUGCAUGGGAAAGUGUGAUCGAUGUGGUUGGAAUUGUAUCCCCCAUGUCGUUGUAGAAAAUAUCAAAUUCGCAAUAUCAAAUGCGGUUGCAAAUCACAUUUUCAAACCCUAGUCAUCUUGUGUCAUUUAAAUACUUGUUAAAUGACUAAUGACAAUUUAAAUAUUUGUUAGUUUCAAUACCGAAGUAAGAAAAUCUUAUAAUAAUAAUACAAAAAGUGAUGAACCACUACAUUUUUUAUAACUAUUCUAUACCCAUUGAGUAUCUUCCCGUGUUUAAUGUUUCUGUGCCACCACUUUCAUUGAGAUAGCAAUGAUUGUUGGGAAAUUUGAUAUGAUUAUUUUUUUAAAUUUUAUGCAUCUGAACUUUAGCAUUCUGAUUUCACAAAACAUCUUAUUUUUGUCACAGGCACUUUGUCAUCAGUGUGCAAACUGACAUAUCAACCAAAUGGGGUUGAAAAUUUCAAAGCCAGGCCAGCCCAAAAUUAAUCAUAGGCUGAGUUUACAAGAUCACAUGAUAAAUUACCUAGCCAAGAAUUUUAUUCGUAACUUGGUAUCUAAGCAACGUAGAAGAAUGCUAAUUGCUGGUUAUGAUCUUGACAUGUCAUAUAUCACAGAUAGGGUAUUAGCCAUGUCAUUUCCUUCAGAACGUAUGCGUGCAAUGUAUCGAAAUCCUCUUUGGCAAGUCAAAUCUGUCUUGGACAUGAGACAUCAAGACCAUUAUAAGGUGCACUUUCAACUCAUGGUACAAUGUACUAUCAUCUUAUUUACCUUGAAUUGUAUGUUUGUUUUUGUUGCGUAUAUUUAAGUGUAAAGUGACACAAUGGAUAUGAGGAGAGAAAUGAAAGAGUUUAUAACUGGAAAAGACACAUGAAACUAUUGCUUUAAGGUUUUGGUUUGAAACGUGAUGUUUCACUUGUGAGUCUUCGCUCUUUUUGUGUCCCAAUAACCAUGAGGCUAAUGUUGUUUAAUAUGUAUGUAGCCGACUUCACCUAUUUGGAUAAAUAUUUGAUUGUUGUUGUAAAACCAUUUGCUUAACAAAUAGGAAGGUCUUUCUUUAAAUCCUUGAAUUUUGUUUGCUUUGUCUUUCAUAUUUGUACUAAUCUAUCAAAAUACAUUGUGUACCUUGUUGAUUUGAAUAAAACUAGAAUCACCUCUAGCAGGUUCAUGUAAACUACUUAUUACUUACAGGUUAUAGUAUCCUUUAUUCUUCUUUGUCAGUAUAUUUAGUUUUCUUCACUUAUGUUAUGUGACUUAUAUAUAUCUUCAUAGAAGUGUAUGACACUAUGAAUAGUUGUAUAAUGUUAACAAAUUGAAGGUGUAAAGGAUGUCACUUUUACCUAUCAUUCUACCUUUAUUCACUAACUGUCAUGCAUUUUGUUAUAGCUAAAGGAUAUGACUUUUGAAAUUUCAGAUCUAUAAUCUAUGUAUAGAAGAAAGUUAUGACCCAACACACUUUUAUGGACGUGUAGAAGCAUAUCCAUUCGAUGAUAACCAUGUGCCACCUCUUGAAAUGAUCAAAGCUUUCUGUGAAAGUGUGGAUUCAUGGCUGUCAAGUGACCCAAAAAAUAUUGCAGUUAUACAUUGCAUGGUAAGAAAAGGCACACUUCCAAUUCGAAUCUUAAGAAAUUUCACAAUGGAGUCUUUCACAUUUUAUUAUAUUUGUAGUUAUUUAAUUUAAUAUGUCUGUGCUUCGAACCGUCAAGACAACGGUAAAGUUAUUUGCCUUGUGACCUAAAGGUCAUGAGCUCGGAAUCCUGAAAACAACCUCUUUAUUUGUAAGAGUAAGACUGUUUACCUUCCCCAAACUCCCCUAGUUGGGAGCUUCAUGCGUUUGAAUGUUUGUAAAAAUUAUUUGAUCAAUGAUCAAGAAUGAGCUUAACAAGCUCUGAAUACUGGAAUGGAAGAAGAUGAAAAUAUGAAUAAUACCUCAAUUGAUUGAAUUAGGAUUUGAAUAAAUGAUUACUACUUACGUUAAGGACCAACCUUUGUUUAUAUACAAGUAACUAAAUAACUAACUAUUUAAAAGAUAAACAUCAUUUAUCUAAGGGUCAAAUAUUUAAUCAUCUAAUUACAAGAAAUCAAUGGUUUACAUUCAUCUACUAAGAUUACUUGCGGUACAAGUAAGUUAGCCUAUGGCUAGAUUCUGGUUAUGUUUCUCCCUUAGUAUCGAAACCUUGGUAUAAUGCCUGUUUUUUAAUGUCUUCAUGUUUUAUAUUUUAUUAUUUAAAUAACUUAAUAAGAAAAGCCACCAAGCAUGACACUUGAGCAAAAGUUUUAGAUUUUUUAUUUAUCUAACCAUUGAAACAUCGUGAAUUGGUUUUCUUGUACCAAUUUGUGGUUCUUAUGAGAAUCGAUUCUCUUUAAGGAAUAAACCAGAUUUUUACCUAUAAUUUCAGUAAAAGAAAAGAAAAGAAGAAUAAUUGGUACACUGACUUACAUGAAAUGAGUUACAACAAAUAAUAAAUAAUUGUAUUCUUUGAUAUUUCUCCUAUGGUAAAACAAAAGUUAAUUCAAGCUUACAAGAAGUAGCACUAGAAACAACCGUACAGAAAACUAUAAAUACCCUGAAUAUGCCCCUAACAUACCAAUAUUUGACAGGGUAACAUAUCGCAUACUAAGCACCUGCGCCCAUAAAAAAGAGAAUUACAUAUCAUGUGACUAUGAUCUCAACCGAUAAAAGAUAUGAUAGAUAAUACUGAAAUUAUGAAGGGAACAGCUUCAUUGAAUUUUAUGGUUGUCUUUAGCUGGAGCUAGAGAUUGCCUUAAGCUGUUUUGUUUAUGUAUUCUUACUGAUCCUAGAUGCUUCAUAUUUCUAAAAGAUAAUUGUACAAUCUUGUAAGUGAACCUUUGGCUGGGAUGCUUCUGAGAUUCAUUUUUUUUGCGACAAAGAAAGGAAUCAUUUAGAUGUUGAAAAUAUGUGUAGAACAGUUUCCUUCUAGUAUUGAGAAAAAUAUAUGCGCCGAUACUGUAUAAGAAAUAUAUUGAGUGUGUAUAAAUCUUUCUGUACACUGACAGUGCAUAGAUAUUACAGUGUCAAGUGUAACUAGAUACAUUUUUCUGAUUUGUACUAUUUGAUUACAAUUAUGCAGGCAGGGAAGGGGAGAACUGGCUUAAUGGUGUGUGCAUACCUAACUUAUUGUGGCAUGUCAGCAGAUGAGGCUCUUCAAUUGUAUGCAGAUAGAAGAACAACAAAUAAUGAAGGAGUAAGUUAUAUUAGGUAUAGUUCCAACAUUUUAAAAUACAACCAUAUUACACUGUGAUUGUAAUGUGACACCGAAUUACAGCAAUAUGACACCAACAUAUUUGUGGGUGUAUUGUAACAGGUAUCAAUACCAAGCCAGCGUCGUUAUGUGGGAUAUUGGGAGAGUGUGCUUUCUGUGCCUAGGGGUGCUGGAAAUGGAGCACCAAUUGUGAACUUGCCUCCAUCAUGCAGCAGAGAAUUGAGGCGAAUAAGGCUUUAUGAUACUGUUAACAUUGACACUGUAUUCUUUGUCAUCUCAGAGCUACAACAGGUUAGUUCUCAACCAUCUAUCAUAUCAAGAUAUCAAGAUUUGUUGUUCCUUUUUAGCUGCUAAACCUUCCAUCUACAGAUAUCAAGAUUUGUUGUUCCUUUUUAUAGGUUCCUAAUCAGGUUUAUCGUCCUUCAGUGGAAGUUUCUCGAAGCUGUUGCAGACAGGUUAAGAAAGGUUAUCAGAGAACGAAUAGUCCUCGAUAUUAUAUUUCUUAUGUUGAAGGUGAUGAAAAUGGAAACCAAACAGAACAAGAAGAACCUCGUAUUGUAGUUCAAAUGGACACAGAGAGUCCUAUAAUAUACAAAAAAUCAUGUCUAGACCAUUAUUUUGACCAACCUAUAAAAGUAAGUAGUCAUCAUUAACUGUUAUAUUUAAUUACAUGCUGUAAAAAGUUGAGUAAAUAACUAUUUUGUUACAUCAAAAAUUUUAAGGGUAGGAAUUUCGCUAAAGUUUUAAAUGUGGGUAAAGUUGAUUAUUUUUGUUGACACAUGCAAAAUUGCAAAAUGUUAUUUUGCUAACAGACGCGCAAUAGUAAGGUUGCUAGUGACCAUGAGGCUGAGUUCUAAUCUUAGAAAUAGCUUUUUUAAUUUUUGUAGGGGAAAGACUGGUAUAUUUAUUAUUUCCAGAUCUUACUAACUGAGAAUCUCGUGAACUGAGCCGCCAUUUUUUAGUUCUACCUAAUAUUAAUUUCCACUUCUAACUGACCAACCUGAAAUUGUUGGACAGGUAACUGGAGAUGUACGUGUCAUCUUCUAUGAGAAAAUGAUAGGAGGCCGUCUUUUCUAUUGCUGUUUUAAUACAGCCUUUAUCAGGAACAGCUUACUUCAGGUAUUAUCAUUCUUCUUUCAUGCCAUUAUUAAUUUUGUUUGGUGCUGUAUUAGAUGGAACAUACUUAAGCCCUUCAAAUAUAUUUCAAAAGAGCGUUAUAUUCUCCUACUAAAUCCUCGUACUAAUUAUCCUACCCACAAAAAAGUGAUACAUAUUACUUACUUUGGCUGGGAUGCUUCUGAGAUUCAUUUUUUUUGCGACAAAGAAAGGAAUCAUUUAGAUGUUGAAAAUAUGUGUAGAACAGUUUCCUUCUAGUAUUGAGAAAAAUAUAUGCGCCGAUACUGUAUAAGAAAUAUAUUGAGUGUGUAUAAAUCUUUCUGUACACUGACAGUGCAUAGAUAUUACAGUGUCAAGUGUAACUAGAUACAUUUUUCUGAUUUGUACUAUUUGAUUACAAUUAUGCAGGCAGGGAAGGGGAGAACUGGCUUAAUGGUGUGUGCAUACCUAACUUAUUGUGGCAUGUCAGCAGAUGAGGCUCUUCAAUUGUAUGCAGAUAGAAGAACAACAAAUAAUGAAGGAGUAAGUUAUAUUAGGUAUAGUUCCAACAUUUUAAAAUACAACCAUAUUACACUGUGAUUGUAAUGUGACACCGAAUUACAGCAAUAUGACACCAACAUAUUUGUGGGUGUAUUGUAACAGGUAUCAAUACCAAGCCAGCGUCGUUAUGUGGGAUAUUGGGAGAGUGUGCUUUCUGUGCCUAGGGGUGCUGGAAAUGGAGCACCAAUUGUGAACUUGCCUCCAUCAUGCAGCAGAGAAUUGAGGCGAAUAAGGCUUUAUGAUACUGUUAACAUUGACACUGUAUUCUUUGUCAUCUCAGAGCUACAACAGGUUAGUUCUCAACCAUCUAUCAUAUCAAGAUAUCAAGAUUUGUUGAUAAUUUUUAGCUGCUAAACCUUCCAUCUACAGAUAUCAAGAUUUGUUGUUCCUUUUUAUAGGUUCCUAAUCAGGUUUAUCGUCCUUCAGUGGAAGUUUCUCGAAGCUGUUGCAGACAGGUUAAGAAAGGUUAUCAGAGAACGAAUAGUCCUCGAUAUUAUAUUUCUUAUGUUGAAGGUGAUGAAAAUGGAAACCAAACAGAACAAGAAGAACCUCGUAUUGUAGUUCAAAUGGACACAGAGAGUCCUAUAAUAUACAAAAAAUCAUGUCUAGACCAUUAUUUUGACCAACCUAUAAAAGUAAGUAGUCAUCAUUAACUGUUAUAUUUAAUUACAUGCUGUAAAAAGUUGAGUAAAUAACUAUUUUGUUACAUCAAAAAUUUUAAGGGUAGGAAUUUCGCUAAAGUUUUAAAUGUGGGUAAAGUUGAUUAUUUUUGUUGACACAUGCAAAAUUGCAAAAUGUUAUUUUGCUAACAGACGCGCAAUAGUAAGGUUGCUAGUGACCAUGAGGCUGAGUUCUAAUCUUAGAAAUAGCUUUUUUAAUUUUUGUAGGGGAAAGACUGGUAUAUUUAUUAUUUCCAGAUCUUACUAACUGAGAAUCUCGUGAACUGAGCCGCCAUUUUUUAGUUCUACCUAAUAUUAAUUUCCACUUCUAACUGACCAACCUGAAAUUGUUGGACAGGUAACUGGAGAUGUACGUGUCAUCUUCUAUGAGAAAAUGAUAGGAGGCCGUCUUUUCUAUUGCUGUUUUAAUACAGCCUUUAUCAGGAACAGCUUACUUCAGGUAUUAUCAUUCUUCUUUCAUGCCAUUAUUAAUUUUGUUUGGUGCUGUAUUAGAUGGAACAUACUUAAGCCCUUCAAAUAUAUUUCAAAAGAGCGUUAUAUUCUCCUACUAAAUCCUCGUACUAAUUAUCCUACCCACAAAAAAGUGAUACAUAUUACUUAUAAUCCAAUCAUUAAUAAUUAAAAUAUCUUAUUGUGACACAUGUCAUCUUCUUGUGGAUAAAAAGAUUAGUAGGAGGAUCUAUCAUUUUCCUAUUACAAAACAAUUACUGGGGUUAUUAAUAUUUCAUUUGUUAUGGAAAACCUCUUCAAGGUGGAGCUUAUAUAACAUAAAUUUACAUCUCAGUGACUCAGUCUAUUUGAAAUUUUUGUUCAAGAAGUUCAUCAUUAUUUGACAUAGUUAGGAUUUUUAAGCAUUUGAAGCAAUGGAAAUAAAAAAUACUAAGAUAAGAACAAAAGCACAGCUGUGAAAUUGAAAUAUCUCACUGCUUUGAUCAUGGUAUUAGGACUUAAUAUGAUGAGAGUCAAACCCAAAAGACUGGUCUAUCCAUCGAGUUAGUGUUAAUAGAGUGAAAGCAGCUGCGGACUUCGGUCCUUUAAGGGACAACAAUGUUAGGAAUCUCACAUUAUGUAGCAUAGCAAACUCAAUGAAAUGAUCAAUUGUUAGGACUUAAGCACAUAAGAAGAGCACAACCCAAAAGACUAGUCUUCUAGGUGGGAGAAUUUUCUCUUUUUUGGUGGCUUCACUCGUCUGUCAGUAUUUGAUAAACUUCCAAGUUAGGAUAUCCUCAUAUGCAUAAGUCGUAACACAUGACAUGUCAUUUGGUUCAACAAAAGUUAAGGGUUUUAUAGCAGUUUUUAAAGACCAUAUAUAGGAUGUGAUAUUUGAAUAAACUAAAAUGCGCCACAAAAAAGAUUGAAGGAUUCAGGCCAGAAAUAAUAAGCAUUUUUUAUUGUUCAGUUUUAUGUGACAUUUACAGUUAAAUAGGACAUGAAAAUAGAAUGCAGAAUAUUACUUGUCUGAGUUCCCUUUUAUAACUAUUGUUUUGUAGCUCACAAUAAGGGACUUGGACAAAGUUGGGAAGAAAGGAAGAUCAAUAUGUGGUCCUGCAUUUUGCGUCGAAUUACUCUUCGGCCCCGCGAAUACAGGACUUUCAUCAUCAAGCAUAUCCAUUGGUGACACUUUUAGUGAUGAUACAUUCUAAUAUUGUUUACAUGGAUCUAUGCAAACAUAAGGUGAAAGGUCAUGUCUAAUUCUUCACACUACCUUGUGUAAAUUAUUUCCUGCUAAAUGUUCCGAAGAAUGAGUCCCUUGCAGUGUUUUGUAUCAGUGCACAGAUCCCUUGCAGUGUUUUGUAUGAUUCUUAAUGAGUCCCUUGGGGUGUAAGUGCAAUUUUUUGUAUUGUUUUAGUAACUGAGUAGUUUUGAAGGGCAGAACUUGAGAGCAUUAUAAUGCAAAACUUCUUCAGUUUUCUCAUUGAAUUUAAUUUGUUCUUGUGUAAAAACUUCAACACUCUGGUCCUAUCAUGUAAAAACACAUUAUUAGAAAAUGUUGAUCUUUCUUGUAUUGGGUUAGCACCCCUUAUGCUCUUUUUAAUACAACUUUUGCUUAUAAAAAAAACGAUUGACUUUGAUACAAUUACCUAAAGUUAGCAUGCUUUUGAUGAUGAUGCAACUUUUAGAUGAUUUAACUCUUAACUGAGAGUGGAUCAAAAGUAAACCCUGCAUCAUUAGGGCUUAACUUUGAUCCUGUAAAUGAGGGAAGAAAUUCUCAAUCCUUUUCUUGUUAUAAAUCUAUUCUGGAAUGCAAUAAUAGUCUAAGUCACACAUUCAUGCCAUUUUAGAACUCUUGUAAUUAUGUGCCAUCAUCAGUGGCCGUGGUGCUUGUGUUGUUCAGAACUCUUGUAAUCUAUUCUGGAAUGCUAUAGGACCAAAAACCUGCAAUCACCAAUUUGCUAUAAAAGCAAAUUGCCAAAAAAUAGUACCAGAUGAAUGUAAAAGUGUACACAUGAAUGUAAAAUAGUACAUAUGGUGGCUGGAUUUUAAGUGUUUGUUUGUGUGAAAUAAAACAUUACCCAAUGUAAAUUUGUCAAUUAAAAGAUAUGAACAAACCUUAGCAUAACUAUAGUAUCCUUACUAAAAGGUUGUCAAUUUAUGCAAAUACAAUCACUCCCUACAUUGUUAUAAUCCAGCUCUAUGAGCAUUACACUUCUGCUUAUAUGAUGAUAGUGCAACAGUCAAGAAGAAAUGGAACUUUUUGAUAUGAUAUCAAAGGAAAUUCCAUUUUGUUGCAGUCUUUCCUGAAGAUCAGUUGGACCAAAUAUAAUCCCUGGAGGGUAUGCUCCUCCUUUUGGCAGGUCGUUGCGUCGGCUAAGAAGAACGAGAGCACACUGAAUAAGGAUUAUUGAGGUUGUUAGAUAUCCAACUUCAGGUCCCAUUACUCUUGUAACGAUUUCCGUGUCAGGUUUUGUGUUUCUUUGUGAGGCAAGACUCUCAUUACUAAAACCAUGUCCAACAAACCACAUCUUGAAAGAAGCACUUUUCACUUCUUCUUCGGAAGGGCCCUUUUCACGGAACCAACCAAGGCUAAAGACUGAAGGGAAGUUCAAAAGAAGCCGUCUUCCCAAGUUAAAACUGCCAAAAAGGCCAAUGAAAAUUCCGACUGUAAUGAUUCGGAAAAUGCCCAAUAAAGAUUUUGAUCCUAUUUUCACACCAAAAUGAGCUGGCUUCACAGAUGACCAGAAGGCUUCCCUUUUCUCAAUCAUCUCAGCAUGCUCAUUCAACCCAGGGAGACCAUGUGGGUUUUCGGUUAGAACUGAGAGUGUUCUUCGUACAACAAUUGAAUCUGCUGAAGGUAGCUUCACUGCCCAAAGGCCCAGUUUCUUCUGGUUUUCUAUGGUUUCUCCUUUUGAGGGAGGAGGCCCAGGAACCUACAACCAUGAAAAUAAAAGUCGAUAAAAUGACAUAAUAUUAACGUUAUAAAAAAUGGAAAGGGAAACUGCUAUACAAGGUCAUAAACAAUACAUACGCUAGCGUAAGUUAAUCUCAGACAACGAGAUUGAGUAGUCUGAAUAAACAACACAAGAAAGAAGAAGGAAAAAGGGUAGGAGUGGGUUCUAGGAAAGAAGCUGACAAUUUAAUCCAAAUCCAAUUUUAGUAACUCUUUCACAUAACAACAAAUUCCCCCUUAACAAGUAUUUGUUUAGGUAGCAAACAGAUAAGGAAAAAUGGGAAGACAGUGCCCUCUAUAUUCUCAGUGAUAUGCCUUAGACACCUUUUGUAGGCACAUUUCAAGAUCUGAUUGUAAUAAUGGAAAUAUCUUCUCUUGUUUGUAGAAUCUAUACAUAUUUGAGAAAUUAUUAUGCCCACAGCAUUACUUGGUACUAGGUUCUUUUCACCCCGCAUGGAGCAGUUGUAAAACAGAACAAAUUGAGGGGUUGAUUUGGAAUCGGAUAUAUACACACCAAGACGGCCACAUGCAGUAUAAUGUAGCCAUAAUAUAUCCCAAGUAAAAUUAACAGCUUUUGUACUCUGAGCAUCUCACUUCCACCUCAACACAUCUACCCUAAUUACUCUUUAAGUUUUACCUACAAUUUUGAAGGUACAAAUGUUUCAUCAUCAAUGCAUUUAAAAGAACUAAAGCCCCUGCCAUGUUUCUGUAUAAUCUUGUUUUUCAGUUCACAAUUACAUACUAUGUCCCAUCGUUAGUUUACGAAAUUUCAAUUUUGCUGCAUCAUCCUAUAUGUCAUUUGAUGUCUCAUGUUAUCAUGUGUGUGUCUGUGUUCGUGUGCUUGACAGUUAUUGUAUAAUCAUGUAAGUUUUGUCUCAUACCAGGACACAUACAAUUAGACAGCUGGAUUUCUUGUUGAACCCACUUGACGUUACGGAAACUGUAACCAACGCUACAAUGUUCACAAGUAAUACAUAUUUGCCAAAUACAAAUAUGCAUUAACCUUAUCACGACUUACCUAUUACAAACCACAAAUAUUAAAUCGCCAAGAUUGUACUUGAAAACUAAAACAACCAUGCUUCGAGCAGAUCCCGGGCAUUGAUUGAGGAAGUAGCCCAACUUUUUUCAUCUACGCAAUGAAGAAUUACUUCUUAUAGGCAAAAUAGAUAUCUGCCGUGAACUUAGUUUUUUUUCCAUCUUAGUCUUCUAAGUAGUAUUCAUUUCAAUUUGGUCCCCAAUCUUUGCAAGAUUAGACAAUAUUAGUAAUUGACGUUAGAUUUGUUACAAUUUGGUCCUCACACAUCCACUACUCGCCUUCUUCCCUAUUGACAAAAGCCACUCAGUUCAUACUAUUGUAUCAAAUUGCAGAUGUAGUCACAAUAAAGCGUUUGAAGUGAUCUUUGCAAUCGCAUCACCCCAAAAUUGCAGCGUGACACAAAAUUAUAAUGAUGUAGCUGCAUUGAGACACAAUGCAAAGCAACCGCAUCAGACUCCAUUUAGGCCACAUCAGAUUCGAAAACAUUUUUAAUCACAAAAUUUCAAACUGUCAUGGCCACAAAACGGCUAAUAACCACAAUUGCAGUAAAGUGAUCGGGGGAAAAUCUAUUGGGCUAGUUUGUGUAAAAUCUGUGAACACCUGCUUAGUUGUUAAUACAGUUUUGUUAACAUUAUUGGAUUUUCAUCAAUAUUAACAUCACAGUAAAGUUAUUUCCUUAAUAUCAAAUUCAACAUCACACUUCAUCUCUUACCACAGGCUUAGCUCUUCUGGGUCUGGACCUUCUCAGCUCCUGCAACUUGUGGGCAUUAGCAAUACCAAGAAUCGCCGACUCAUACGUCGCGAAGUUACCCACGAUCCUCCUCUCAGACUCCAAGCUCACAAACGCCUCUACUCGAUUCGGCACCGCUGGAUUCACCCACUGCCGUGAAUUAAACAUGAACCCCAGCUCUGCAGGAACCGAAUCGAACCCACAAGCCGAAACCACCAAGGAACCGGUUUCCACAGCCCUGUCAUGGUAAUUGGCCUCCAUCCGCUCCAUGAAUUCCGGCUCUCCACAGAUGUCCAAAUAGUCACAGCCGGUGUCAGCACAUGCAGCGACAACGGGCUCGCCAUGGAGGCGAAAAGGGCCGACGCAGUUGAGGAUGAGGGAAGUCUGGGCGCAGAGGGCGCGGAGGGAUGAGGGGUCGGCGGUGUCGGCGGUGAGGAUGGGGAGAGAAGGCCGAGGGUUGGGUCGAGCUGCCCAUUGGAGGGUUUGGGUGAGUUUUGUUGGGUUGCGACCAGCGAGGGCUAUGGAUUUGAGUGGGGAAGAUGGGUUGUUGAGGAAUUUGAGAGCUUCUUUCACAACAUAUUUGCCUGUGAAACCUGAGGCACCAAGGAUUAUCAGAUCAAAACGAUGGGAUUUGGGACUCUGUUGGUCUUGGUUUGAUGCCAUGGGGUUUUGCACGUUGGAAUGGAUCUCUUGCACUUUUUGGUGAUUCUCCACGGAAAAUUUAGUUUAGUAUCCCACUAUUGGGAUACCUUUGAAUUAAUUAAGGGAAAGGGGUAUUUUUGUGGAUCUCGUUGUUUGGAAAUGCGAUUUCUCACCAAUGUCGUGGACCUCAUCUAUGUUUCCCUUACAGAUUCUCUCUCCUCCUGAAGAGAAGUCGUGCGCAUGCACGACUUUCAUAGUCGUGUACUCCGUACACGAGAUUGGAUGGGAUACGGUGAUUUUUGAAAUCCCCUUAACACGAAAUUGAUAUUGUUAUUUAUUGUUUUAGGAGUUUGUUUUAUGAUUUGUAGUAAAGUGUUAGUUUUAUGGAAUUUGGUUAAUGUUUUUGAUAUUUUUUAACACUUAUUUUAAAUGCAUAUAUUGAAAUAAUAAGAAAAUUUCAUGGAAAUGAUAUUGAUAAUUGUCUUAGGAAUUUAAAAAUGGUUACAUUAAAGAAAACAUAACAAGAAUAGAAAUUGCUAAUGACAUCUAGGAGAUGAUGUUCCACAUCAAAUGCCUUCAUCCUUCGAGGUGGUUGGACUCUUAGUUCUUGUUGUGAUUGAUGUUGUCUUCCACCUCUAACUAGUUGUGGCCGCUCCUCAUCAUCGUUAUCAUUUUCAUCGUCUUCGUUUGGUUGUGAAGGCAUUGUCGGUUGAUAAUAUUAUUGAGAGUUGAAUGCCGACAAUGGAGUAUUUGAAAUAGUGCCAAACAUUGAUGACAUUCCUUGAAAUUGCGAAAAAGAUGCUAAGUGAGAGAAUGAGUAGUCACUCAUUGCUCCGAAACCUUCAAACCCAAAGGGUUGUUGUUGUUAUUGUUGAGGUCAGGAAUUUGACUCUCAUAAUGUUGCUGAAACUCAUGUGCAAUAGGCAUUUGAAAUUGUUUUAUCACAAAUUUACAACAGAAUCCUAUUUAAUACUUUAGCCUUCAUUAACAUCCAUCAAAACUAGGUCGGUGAUAAUCCACACAAAGGUUAUCAUGACAAUGCUACAAGGAAGCUAUAAUAUUCGGGUACCUAUUCCCAAAAACUAUUUUUCAAGGUACCAUUAUUAUCAUAUUCACAACAAACAUAUUUUAAAUUUACUCAUUCUCAUAUUAGUCCUUAUCUAGUAUGUGAGCAUCCAGUUUAAACAAGACCUAAACAAACCACAAUCCAAAAUGAAUUGAACUAGAUAAAAGCAGUAUGGAUGAUAGUACCAAUAAGUCGGACAAUGAUCAUCUAUCCCAAAAAAAUCAUGGUCUUAUGUAUCAAAUCAAUUAAAUUUCAUAUAAUAAUAUACAAAUAUUAAUUUCUAUUAUUAAAAUUUUUAUUUUUAAUUAAAUAAGAUUUUGUAAUUGGCAUCCCAAUAACCCACUGUCUGCAGAAGUGGACUCAUAAACUCAGUUUCCCUCAAACCCACACAACAUUCUCAGUCACUCAUCUAAAGAGAGAGAAAUUAAAAUAAAAAAGAUUAACUUUUAUUAUUAUUUGAAUACACAGAAAAAGAGAUAUAAUAAUAAAUGAAUAAGGGGACAAAAGGGUUCAGCUUUUUGAAGGUGAAAGUGAGAUCUUUUUAACACACUCAUCAAUUUAGCAGAAGCCAACACUCUGAGACACACAAUAGAGAGAGAGGAGAGAAAUAACCAACCACAACUACACAUAUAUCUCUUCUUCUACAAAUUUGGCUACUUCACUUCUUCACUCUAUAAACAAAACAUAUUCCAAUGACUUUGGUAACACUUCUCCAUCAAACUCUUCAUAUUACACAGUUUAUUCUAUUUUCUUUUUCUUCUGUUAUAUUAUUUACUCACUUAUGCUUAUAUCCUACCUUAAAUGAUGUAACAAUUUCUAGUAUGCAUGGCAGAUAGAAUAUUGUGAUAAAAAUCUAAAAUAACUAAUACAAUAAAAACUAAUUUAUAAACAAUUCAGGGCAUGAUUGUCUGACAAUGAAUCUUUAACAUGGUUUAAAUCCAAACUCUUUAGGCAUUUGAUGUAAAAAUGUAAGAAGAUCAGAGCCUGUUGAGAUUAAAAUCUGAGGAGCUAUUUUUAAAAAAAAAUCAAACCAUGACAUUCCAAGCCGUCACGAGUAAGAAAAAUCUCCAUAAAGAAUAAUAAUACGGGUUAAUAAUCAUAAUACAUCAUCUUAUAAUAUAACUAAUAAGUUAUAAAUUAUACAAUAUCAAUUAGAAGAUAAUUCAUAUAAAAUUAAUAACAUCCAAUUUGCAUAUGUAGCAGUAAUUAUCUCAAACCCUCGGUCUAUGAUUAAAAGUUUGCAUACAAUACUUCUAGUGGAUAUGCCUUCCACUCACACAACGCCUUGGGUUCUUGCAACUUAUAAUUCAUUUGUCCAUGUCUAAAUCAAUCAAUGAAUCCUAAGAUCUCAUGAAUAGUCAAUAUAAUUGGGUCAUUGACCAUCUCAACAAUCAAUAGUCAAUAUAAUUGGAUCAUAGAUCCCAUCAUUAAAUAAUCAACAUAAUUAGAUCAUAGAUUCUCUCAACAAUCAUUACUCAACAUUAUAUACGCUUUCAUCAUUAUGAAAUAUUAAUAAAGUUCAAGGCUAAUCUGAUUUAUAAUCAUGUAUAAGUAUGUAUGAUAUUAUUUGCUUCCUCUUUAUAAUUCAAAUACAAUUGAACCAAUAAGAUUUUUUCAGUUGAAUGUGUCAGAAGAAACAUAACUGCACAUAUAAGAAUAAGUUUCUUAAUACAUUAAUUCUCAAUUAACAAUUUAUGGAGUCUUAGGGGUUAUAAUGUUACUUAUGAUAGAUGGAGAGUGCUAUCAUUUUCCUUGUUUUCACCUCCUCUCUUUUUCUCUCUUCCUCCUCUUCCAUCUUCUUUAGCCGCUAGAAUUCUAUGCGUAAAACAAGUUUCCCUCUAAUAUUCUCGUAAUAACUCAAUUCUUCAUUAAUACUAUUCUUAUUUUUAUUAAAGAUAAAGAUCUUUAGGUACUCUAAAAGUUUUAUUAAUUUUUUGAUAACAAUAAUCAACUUCUGAAUCCUAUCACAAAUCAAAUAUUUCAAUCAUAUCACCAUAAUAAUGGUGAUCACAAUAAUGGUAAUGAUGACAAUAUCAAUUUAUAUUAUUUUAUAAAGUUGAGAGAAUAAUACAAAUUAUAUAUGGAAACAAACAUAUAUACUGAUAAGGAUAGAACAAGAUAAACUAUAUACAAAUAAUAUCAUUCAAAAUCAAAUAAUAUAUUGACAUAUAUAAUUGAAUAAUGAUAACAAUGAUAAUCAUAACAAUAAGAAUAUAAUAACAAUAAAAUUAUGUUAUUAUUUUUAUCUUAACAUUGACAUAUCAUCUUAAGGUGAAUUGAUUAUAUCAUGUUACUUUUUUUAUCAUAGAUAAAAUAUUGAGUUUAAAAUCUGUUCAUUAUGAUAGUUAAGGGUGGAAAUAGGCCAGACCGCCUAUCAGGGGCCUAUUACCUGGCCUAUAACAGGCUAGGCCAGGCCAGACUUUUUUCAUUAACAAGCCAGACUUAGACUUUCUAAAAAGCAUAUUUAGCUUAAUAGGUCAGGCUUUAGGCCACCUAAAAGGCCUAUUAAGUCUAACAGACCGGCCUAUUUAGUUAUAUUAUAUAUGAAUAUUGAAUUUAUACUAUUUUAAUAUAAAUAAUAUUAUUAUAUAUGUAAUAUUAAUAUAAAAAUGUAUACAAAAAUAUAAUUUAAUUAUUAGAAUUAGAUGGGUCUAACUAAAAGUAGACAUAUAAACCCAUUUAAAUGUAGACAUAGUAGCCUAUUUCAUGACCAUAUAGUAUAAUAGGCUUUUAAACAGGCUAGGCCAGACUUUUAAACAGGUCAAGCUCAGACUUUGAUUUUUUUUAAACAGGCUAACAGGCCAGGCCCAGACUCCUAUAUGCUAUAUAGGCUGGGCCUGUUUAAGGCAAAGCCUGGUCUGGCCUGACCUGUUUCCACCCUUAAUGAUAGUAUAAAGUUUUUUGCACCGUUAGUGCAUCAUUGACCUUUGAUUUGUAUUAUUUUUAUCAUAGAUAAAAUAUUAAUUGAGUUUAAUUAUAGUUAAUGAUGAAUGAAUUGCUGACAGUAUAAAAAACAUUUACAUUAUUAAUAUAUAAUAUUAAAUUCAUAUUAAUUUGUGAAGAUAUAAUAAUUUUUGGAAUGUUAGAGGUUCAUUUCCAACUUCAUUAUACCGGAGGUAUAUUUUAUUUUAUUUUUUAAAAUUUCAAGACACUUGUAUACGUCAAACAAAGCAUUAUCCAAUGUAAAUUAAUCAAACUACAUUAUUCGAUGAAUAUCAUGCAGGUGGGAACAAAUCUUAAUAUAACAUGAAUUUCAUGCAAAGAAAAUACAAUAUCUCCCUUAUUAUCUAGGUCUAUGAGCACCAUAAAUUUUCUUAGUUUGAGACUAUAGGAUGAUGUUGUAACAAUCAAGAAGAAAUUGUAGUUUUUGAUAUGACAUCGAAGGAAAUUCCAUUUCUUUGAAGUCUCUGUUGUAGAUCAGUAGGACCAAAUAUAAUCCCUGGAGGGUAAGUUCCUCCCUUUGGUAGGUUAUUGCGUUGGCUGAGAACAAUGAGAGCACACUGAAUAAGGAUUAUUGAAGUGGUUCGAUAUCCAACUUCAGGUCCCUUUAUUCUUGUUACAAUUUCCAUGUCAGGUUUUGUGUUUUUCUGUGUAGCAAUAAUGUUAUUACUAAAACCAUGUCCAACAAACCAUAUAUUGAAAGAACCAUUUUUCACUUCCUCUUCAGAAGGGCCCUUUUUACUGAACAAACCAAGGCUAAAGAUCAAAGGAAAUUUCAAAAGAAACCACCUUCCUAAUGCAAUACUUCCAAGAAUGCCAAUGCAAAUUCCAACAAUGAUGAGUCUGUAAAUGCCCAAUAAAGAUUUUGAACCUAAUUUGACACCAAAAUGAGCUGGUUUCACAGAUGACCAGAAUGCUUCCCUUUUCUCAACAAUCUCAGCAUGUUCAUUCAAGCCAGGGAUACCAUAAGGGUUUUCUGUUAGAUGAGAAAGUGUUCUUCGAACAACAAUUGAAUCUGCUGAAGGUAACCUUACAGCCCAAAGGCCAAAUUCCUUCUUAUUUUCUAUAGUUUCUCCUCUUGAAGGAGGAGGCCCAGGAAUCUACAAACAUGAAAUAACAAGUCAAGAAAAUGACAUAAUAUUAAAGAUAAUAAUAAAAAAUGCGGUCAAUACAUCUAAUAGCGGAUUCAAGACGGGGCUAGGGGAUGCAAGUGAGAUUGUGUGCAAUAUUAUUUAAUUGAUUUGAAUUGCUCAUUCAAUUAUCUAUGAACUAAAAGUAGUGAUAUUUUGUAUCCUGACAUUUGGAGGCAAUCCUGUUUGAGCCGGAAACAUCCACAAGUACGUGGGCUAAUUCUCCCAACAGACAUUUUUUCUAUCUAUAAGACUCGAACUCAGGUUUUUACUUAAGAAGACUCAAACAUGUACCAUUGGUGUGUAACAUAAUCUAAAACUGCAAUGUUACUGUUAUGUACCUUAAUCUAAAACUGCAAUAUUACUAUGAUGACCUUAAUCUAAAACCCGAAACAUAAACAUAGCAAUCAAAAUGAAGCAAACAAAUUGAAAUCCAAAAAAUAUAUCUCUUACCACAGGCCUAGCUCUUCUGGGUCUGGACUUUCUCAGUUCUUGCAACUUGUCGGCGUUAGCAACACCGAGAAUGGCGGACUCAUAGGUCCCAUAGUUACCCACACAGCUCCACUCAGACCCGGUACUCACAAACGCCUCCACCCGAUUCGGCACCGCCGGACUCACCCACUGCCGUGAGUUGAACAUGAACCCUAGCUCCGCUGGAAUCGAAUCAAACCCACAAGCCGAAACCACCAGCGAACCGGUUUCCACAGCCCUGUUAUGAUACUUGGCCUCCAUUCGCUCCAUGAAUUCCGGCUCUCCGCAAAUAUCCAAAUAGUUGCAGCCGGUGUCAGCACAUGCGGCGACGACAGGCUCGCCGUAGAGGCGGAAGGGGCCGACACAGUUGAUGAUGAGGGAAGUCUGGACGCAGAGGGCGCGGAGGGAUGAGGGGUCGGUGGUGUCAGCCGUGAGAAUGGGGAUAGAAGGUGGAGGGUUGGGUCGAGCAACCCAUUCGAGUGUUUGGGUGAGUUUCGUUGCGUUGCGGCCUGCUACGGCUAUAGAUUUGAGUGGGGAAGAUGGGUUGUUGAGGAAUUUGAGAGCUUCUUUCACAACAUAUUUACCAGUGAAACCUGAGGCACCAAGGAUUAUCAGAUCAAAACGAUGGAAUUUCGGACUCUGUUGGUCUUGGUUUGAUGCCAUGGAGUUUUGCACGUUGGAAUGGAUAUCUUGCACUUGCUGUGAUGAAAAUGGCUUUCAUUGUUAUGUACUACGUCCAAUAUAUUAUGGAAGGAUUUAAUAUUUAAUUAUUUUUCACGUUGUUAGGUUACUAUUGAUUUAUUAAUUAUAAUUGAAUUUUUCUAAUAAAAUGAAUACAAAUUAAUAGUAAAUAAUAUAUUGACAGUAUAAAAAUUGUAUACAGUCCUACACAGAUUUUAAAUUCAUUAUCUAAUGGUAACUUUGAAUUAGAAAUUUUUUAUGACUAAUAUUCUAUAUAAGUCUAACUUCUAGACAAUCCACCAUUUUAUAGAAAUUGUACCUAAUUACUUAAUAAAAAGACUGAGAAUAGAGUAACAAAUGAGUGAUAAUUUAUGUAUUAUUUUUUUUAUAAUAUAUUUAAAAGAAUGAAUUACUCGAGUUUUAGUGAAAUUACAGAAAUCAUUCAAACCUACACAAACCACCCCUAAUUAUAAAUAUAUGUUACACUAACUACUUCUGUAAGAUAGAUAAAUGUAAUUUAUUGAAUAAAAAAUAUUGACGGAUGUAAUUAAAUCAAACAAAAUAUGAUAUAUUGUAAAGACAAAUUGAAAUAAGACACAUACCAGGUAAUGAAUGAGUGAAUUAAAGGAAAUAAAUUAUUCCAUGAUAUAAAUAGAUAUUUUAUUCUUUUAGAUUUUAUUUCCAAAAAAAAAAUGUUUCCAUAUUUCGAACAAACUCAUCUCUAGUAUUGGAGAAAGAAAUUGUUGAUUUUACUCUUGAUUGAAAGGAGAGAAGCAUUAUAUAAUUAUGUUUAAAGGGUAGAAGUGCACAUGACAUUAUUUUUUCCUUUGAUUUUGAUGUAGUUCACUCUCUAGUGUUUGAGGGGAGCAUAUAUUGUCUGACAGUUUGUUUCAUUUUAUGAGUCAUUAGUUGUCAUUGAUUGAAGAAAAUAUAUUUAAGUUAAAAAUUUAAUUAUUAAAUAUUUUUCUAUUCAAUCGCAAUUAGUGACACAUGGAGUGACACAAGUUGUAGGAUAGAAGAUGUAUUCUCGUACCGGAGAGGAUCCUCACUCUUAUCCUUAGCUAGUCAAACUUAACAAAAUAAUAUAAAAAUAUUAAUUUAUGUUUUUAUAAUUUUUUCCUUAAAUAAGUGUCAUUUUUUUAUUGAACGAGAUAUAAAGUGAGACAAAAAUGACGACAUGUGAUCUCCAUUCAUAACCACAAUUCAUUAUGCCAUUUUUAAGAGCUAAGAUGUCUAUGAAGAAGGAGAUGUGAUUAUCUCUUGUACUAGUAUUAGAAAUUUAAGCAACCACAAAAUAUAGUUCGAUUCAGUUCACUUAUUUUUUAAGCAACCAUUUAUGUUCAGUUUGGUUUAUGAUUUUAGAAAUUUAGGAACUGUUAGAAUCGAUCUGAACUACAUAUUAAAGAAAUAGAUACUAAAGAAUGAUGUUUGAUUUUUAUUUAAAUUAUUUAACAUUGUAGUUUAAAUUAUUAAUUUUGUGUGAAAUAUAAUAUUAUAUAUUACUAAAUUAUUAUUAUCUUAGUAUUAUAUAUGUUAUUACUUAGUAAAUUGUUUCAUAGUGUUUUAUGAUUUGGAACAUAUCUUCCAACUUUUAUGGUAUUGAGUUACAAACUAACAUAUAUAAUAUAUUGUUAUAUGUGUUACUAAUUGUGAAUUGUGAAAGUUAUAUAUAACUAUUAUAUAUUUUAUUAAUUUGUAUAUAUGUUAUUAAUCAUGAAUUGUAUUGUUAUAUAUUUACUAAUAAACAUAUAUUAUUAAUUGUGGAUUAUAUUAUUAUAUAUGUGAUAAUUAAUUUUUUAUCUAUAAAUUAUAUAAUUGUUAUAUAUUACUAAUGGACAAUUAUCAGUUUCAAUAUUUUUACUCUACAUAUGAUUUAUAAUGUUUUAUAAUAUUGUAGUAGUGUUUUUUAUUUUAUGGACAAAUAAUAUUUCUUGUAAUACAUUUUGAACUUUCAAUUGAUGUAAUAUUUUAUAUAAGAAAUAAUAGGAAAAAUUGUGGAACUGAACUAUUCAAAAGUGGCUCAAUUUAAUUUUUACAGUUAAAUUUGUGGUUAGUUUAAAAAACCGAACCAUAUUUUUUUUUUCAAUUCAAUCACUGAAAUAACUAAAAACCAAACUGAAUUGAAAUUUUAUACUCCUACAUAUAUGUUUAGUAUUUAGUAGCAUAAUAGUUGAGUGUAUUAAAAUUUUCUAUAUUAACUAAUAUGUAUCAUUUCCAAUGUUAUGAAUCAGAAAUAGAUAACUCAUUAACAUAAUAAGACAGCUUUUACUAAUAAAUAUCAAAUCUUUUAAUGAUAUGAUUGGUUUUUAAUAGUAAGAAAGUAAAUGAUAUAAAUUAGUAGGAAUAAAAUGUUUUUAUUUAUAGAUAUGAGACGACAUGUACACUGGCCACAGCUCAAAAUCAAUAUUACAUAGAAAAAAGAGGGCAAAAGUUAAUUUAUAUUAGGGAUGUAAUCACUUUCAGUUUAAAUUGCGAAAUUAAUAGAAUCAAAUUGAACCAAACCGCAAAAUAUGUUUGGUUUGGUUUCGUGGUUCGAUUUUUUUAAAGAACCAUACAUGUUUGGUUCGAUUUAUGGUUUUAGAAAAUAUCCAUAAAAAUACUUUGUUUAAAUCAAAACCAAGGAUAUAUCAACAUCAAUCCACGUCCUUUUAUUGUAAAAAUAUAGGUCAUACACCUAAUUCAUGCUAUAUUAGGAAAGUUGGUAUCCCAACUAGCUAAUAUGUUUGGGUUGAGAAAGAUGUUAACCCCAAAGGACCCAAAUCACAUUGGGUACCUAGAAUAUUAUUUUAAUUUGUUUUGUAGGAGUGUCUGAAAGCCAUAAGUAAAAUGUGGUAUCAUGAAAGCGACUGUUCAAGGCACAUCACACGAGACAGUUCAAGUAAAUAAAGGAUGGAAUCUUUGUGAAUCAGUCCAAGUAAUGCAAAGAUUUACUCAAAAGAUUUGAGAUGGACGAAUGAAAAGCAAUUGCUUCUCCUAUGGGAUCAAAUAUCCAUGUUGACACAGAUGAAGCUGGAAAAUGCAUUGAUAUAACAAAGUAUCAAGGUAUGAGUAGUUAUGUUCUAUAUCUUACUACAAGUAGUCCUGAUGUUUUGUUUAGUGUUUGUCUAUUUGGUAGAUACCAGUCCAAACCUAAAGAGUCACGUCUAGUUGCAAUAAAAAGAAUUAUGAAAUAUCUAAAAAGAACAACUGACAUAGGACUAUGGUAUCCUAAGGGAAGUAUAAUGAUUUGGUUGGAUACUCGUAAUCAGGUUUUGCUGGAUGCAAAACUGAGAGGAAGAGUACUAGUAGAACAUGUCUCAUUCUAGGAAAUACCUUAUUCUCCUAGCCAUGUAAGAAACAUGCAUGUGUUGCUUUAAGUAAUAUGAAGACAUAAUACGUAACAACAUUUAAUUGUUGUGCAUAGGUGUUGUGGUUCAAACACCAAUUACAUGAUUACAGUCUAGACCUAAGUUACGUUCCCUUGAAGUGUGAUAACACGAUUGCUAUCAGCCUCACUAGGAAUCCAAUAAUACAUUCUCAAUAUAAACACAUAUAUAUAAGGUAUCACUUCCUUAGGGGCUAUGUUCAAAAGAAAGAUGUGUAGUUAGAGUUUGUUGACACUCAUGAUCAACUAGCAUACAUAUUCACUAAUCCCAUAGCAAUAGAACCUUUUCAUAAAAUUUAGAAGAGAAUUAAGCAUAUUAGAUGAAGCAGACCUAAGUUAAAUCAUUUUUCAUGUUUAUGUGUUUACAUGUUUGCUUCAUUAUAGUAUAUGUAUUCCAACUUGUCUAUUUAUGUGUUUAAAUCAUGAAAUUUCAAUUUUUUGUUGGUAUGUAACCAAUCAACCUCCAAGUAUUAAGGUAUCUUAAAUCUGAAAAUCUUGGGGAAGUAAUUGUUUACUCUAAGGGAGUAACCAAUUACCCGAUGAAAUCAUCUGGAAAAUCGGGGUUUUCUUUGAAUGAGUAAUCUCUUACUCUACUAGAGUAACUGAUUAAUAUGGCCAUCCUUUAUGUAGGAUUCUUCAAAAAAAUAUUUCCAGAACUUCAUCUUCUUCAUCUUCCUAAUCCGUGUGUCUCAUCCCCAAAACUUAGGAUCUUCAUUUCUUGACCGAUUUCAUUAAAAAAUUGUGGCUAAACACACUACAUUUUCAAUUCUAAAUACUUUCCAAUCACAAAUUUCAGUUUUUAUGCCUCAAAUCAAGAAUCCUCAAUUUCCAAACUUCCUUAGGCAACAAUAUCUUCGAGAUUUAUGUUUAGAACAAAAUGCCUAUUACCCUAAAUUAGUGAGUGUAAUUUAAUAUGUAACGCCCCGAAAAAUACUUCUCAAAAACAUUGCGGAAAAAUGGGUAAAUUUUUUUUUUUUUUUGAAUAAAGNNNNNNNNNNNNNNNNNNNNNNNNNNNNNNNNNNNNNNNNNNNNNNNNNNNNNNNNNNNNNNNNNNNNNNNNNNNNNNNNNNNNNNNNNNNNNNNNNNNNACCAAAAUUUACCACAAAAUAGGAAAUAAUAUUUCAAGACUAAAACUCAACUAGAGUUUCGUCUAAUUCUUUACCGAAAAUUCCCAGAAAUUCAUUUUCGAAUAUAUAAUUAAUGAAAAUAUUAGUAAAAUCUUAUAUUUCAAAAUCGUAAAAUUCGCGGUGUUACAUAAUACAUUCUGAAAGUAAAAAAGAAAAAAAACUUUUUUCCUUUGUUAAGGGAAAAGAAAUAGUCAUGGACUUGAAAACGUUUUGUUCAGUAAAAUACCAUACACUAGCACCAGAGUUGGCUUUGGACUUCAUUUUCAAUUAGAGGAAUUUGAUAGAAAUAAAUUCUACUACUCUUUGUGUAGAUUUCCUCAAGAGGAAAUUGUGAGAAAAAAGAAAAAUGUAGUGGUCGAAUUAGUUAAGAUUCGAGAUAUCCUAUUUGUUGGAAAUUUGAUCCUGAUCAUUUGUUGCAUUACUUUUUAUGUUAUGUUGUACUUCCCAAACCUCCCAAUUAUUCUCAAAUCAAUGAUAUAAAAUACAAAUCUUGUAUGCCCUGAAAAAUAAUAAACCUAUAAAUAGGGCAUUCAUGGUUAUGCGACACAUGUGGUCUCUUAAGGACAAAAAUGGUUCACUACCUUAUGCUAUUGCAGUCACUACCAUACUUGAGCACUUUAGAAUAUCUAGUGUUGCAUAAUCCAAAAUGGAGUUAGAUGCUCGUGAUAGCAAAAUCGAUCUAGAUGUGAUCCAAAAAAAUGGACUUUUUUCAAGACUCGAUCAAUCUACAGUUCAAGCAUCAAAUUGAUUGUCCUGCUACACUUUCAGAUACCCCUGCUACUUCACAACCUGACCCUCAACCCUCUCAAUGUCAAUUUGAUCCUUCAUAAUCUUCUAACGAGCCUACCAAUCACAUGAUUGUGGACGAGUUGGUGAAUCUUCGAGGCUACAUCACUAUCAAGAUGAAUGCUUUUGAUGCUCAGAUCCAACAAGUUCAUGAUGAACUCAAAUGCUUAUCUAACCAAUUGGACUAUAUGGACAUUGAUGAAGAUGAUGAGCAGGAGAACUCUUAGUCUUAGGGUUGUGUGUUUGUUUUGAGUUGUAACUUUCAUGUUGUUAUACGUUUUGUCUUUAUGACUUUUUUGUUGUAAGUUGUUUGACAAUUUAUGGCCAUGUAUGAACAUGUUUUCUAUUGUAAUGUUUAUAUCAUUUGUAUUAUUAGUCUAUAUCAAUUGAUUAGCAUAUAUUUUUGUAUUGUACAUGAGAUCUAACCUUGGUACAUAAACAUAUAUAAAUUAAAUCCAUGUUAUUUCUAUUUAUUUUGACUAUGGAAAACUUGGUUUUUUCAUGAAGUCAAUAGGGGGAGAAAUUUUGGAGUUUUGUUUUCUGGAUGUAAUCUUUCAGGGAAAUAAACUCCAAAACAAAGGAAAGCAUACAAGAUAGGGGAGCACACACAAUCUAAAAGCUUACACAUUAAGAAACCUGUAUGCAAAUCAAUAAAACUCAAUGUUAACACGAUAUCAGUUUGUCAUCAUCAAAAAGAGGGAGAUUGUGAAGAAGAUCUUGCUUCUAACCUUGCCUUAGUUUUGGUGAAGACACUAACAUCACAAAAAGAAGUAAAAUGAUUGAAGGUCUUGAAGACAUUUAGUUUCUAAGAUAUAUACUUCUUUCAGAAAGUGUUAUUACUUUAAGUAUUACCAAAUGCUCAUAGGAAAUGUUUUUAAAAAAAUAUCAAACUUGGUUUAAAAGACGGACUUAAAUUUCAAAAAGAUGCUUAACAAGUUGCUCGAACUGAGUAAUGAGUUACUAUGCUAGAGUAGCCGAUUACCCAAACAGAGUAACAUGUUACCAAUAAAAAAUAACAAAGAGUAACUGAUUACUCAAUCAAGUAGUCGAUUACUCAACGUGACAUAUGCUUUUGGUAACUGAUUACACCCCUCGAGUAUUUGGUUACUCAUAGUUGUUACAAUAGUUUUUAUAUUCAAACUAAAACAGCUUCUCCCAAAACGAAUGAAUGACACAUCAAUCGAUUCCUACCUUUUAGUAUAGCUAUGUUGGUUGGUUGGAAGCCUAUUUAAAGGCUUUAAGCAUUUACUUUUGAAAUCGAUCAACCACACUACAUUUUCUACAAUCUUUCAUACGCUUUAGCAAACAACUUGAUCAAACUUUCUAAUUUCUCUAAAAAGUUGUUUUUAGUGUUUUCUUCCAAUUUUUAUGAACUUAUAAGCACUUGAGCAUUUGUGUAUUACUUCUAGUGAUUGAAAUACAAGAAUUGAGUGUUGAGUUGUUCACAAUCUUAGCAAUCCUAGCCCUAGAUUCAGAGUUCUUCCUAUACCACUUUUCUGUAUAUUUCACCAUAAGGUGUGGUCAAAGAGAAAGAGUGAUAUCUACAAGUGGCGUGUUUCUAAAUAGUGAGAUUUGGUAAGUCUAAUCGGUGACAAAUUCUCAGGGUGAGAUUUUUAACGAUUAACAUUUCAUCACCUUAAAAAUCUCUUGUAGUCGCAAGAGGACUGAACAUAGCUUUUAGUGGACUAGAAGGUGAACCAAGAUAAAUUUCAGUGUUUCUCUUUUCCAUACACUCUUUUUUAUUUUUGUACUUGACUUUUGGAUAACAUAUUAUUCCGUUGCACCUCUAUUCCUACACUUUUCUUAAGUUGUAAAAAUUUGCAUCAAGUGUAGAAAAAUCAUAAAACUAAUCUCUUCCCCUUAGUUUGUCAUCUUAACUUACACUUUGUGUAAACAAGUCUUGGUAUGAGGCUUGGAUUAGCAUUUGAUUAGUGAAACAUCAAAUCUCUGUAAUCUGAACAAAUAGAUCUAUAUAUCCCUUAUUCUGAAGAAAGUCAACCAAUAUAUACCGCUUAUGUGAAUUCUGUAUAUUCCUUAUUCUUUAUUUUAUGCACAUAUAGAUCUUCAUUUACACUCUCGUUUGAAUAUUCUCAAUUAACAUUUUUUAAAGCACAAUAUUGUUGCCAACCUAAUUCUCCCCCUUUUACAUUGUUAGAUAGUGUAUAUAUUAACUCCUCUCUUCUACACCGAAGAACAACCAUAUAUAUAUAUAUAUCGAUAGCUCCACCUUUCUUAAAUCUUUGACUUUAAAUAAAAUAUUAAUAAGUUUGACUGAGCAAUGGCUAUACAUCAUGUGAAGGUUAUAUUUACAAUAUUAUAUUAUUUUGAACGCCUCCCUUUUAAUGUAAGAUGGUUAAAGAAUUUGGUAUAAUAUGCUUAUCACUAUUGUGUACCAAGCCACCAAGUCAAUAGAAGAAAUGAGAAUCGUUUGGAAGAAAAGAAAAUCAAAAUUCACUAAGUUAUACAUUCCCUAAUACACUCACGGGUGGACAUUGGAACAAAGAGACAAAUAAAAAAAAUGCAGAGAAAAUGUCGGUCUUGGUAAAUUUGUAAUACUUUCAACGUGCAGAAAUUAUUUUAUAUUCAGAACUAAUGAUGCAAAUCACUUCUUUAUUAUUAAUUUAAACUAAGUUGAUUUGAUUAUAAGAAUUUAAUUGAGAUUAAUGAUCUCAUGCUUUAAAAUAAGGCAAAAUAGAUAACUUCCAAUUCCCACAACUAACACACAUUUACUAGGUAGCACAUAUAUGUUCUUGGCCUCUUAAACUUGCAAGAGGACGUUAUUAACUUAUUCCAUGCAAUUCCUGUAAAGGCAGAAGAAACAGUUAGAGUCACAUGGGCUAUCAUAAUAUCAUGCAAAAGAUAAACAUUUUUCUUCCCAACCUAAAUCUUCUUACAAAUCUUCGUAUAAGUAACAUGUUGAUAAAAUAAUAUUUUAUUUAUUAACUUCUAUUUGCGAGUUAGUGUUAGAGGGAAAGAAAAUAAAAUGAAGAAUUUAAUAGUCAUCUCAGAAGUAUAUUUUAUAGUUUCAAAUUUUUUUCCUUCCUUUCAUUGUCCUAUUCUAACCAACUUGCAAAGAGAUCAAUUUGCAAGCCAAAUUUUGGAAAGAAAUGACCCAAAAAGUGAAUGAUUCAAAGUAAAUAUUAAAUUGAAUUAACGCUAUUUUAGGAAUGAGUAGUGUUAUAUGUAAAGUUCAUACAUUAAAACUUCUUUCAUAAUAAAUCAAAUUAUCUUUACAAAAUUAUAUUCAACGAUUUUUACUAGAGCUUAUUAGCUUUAUUCCUAGUUCUAUUGUGUAUUUGUGUUGAACAAGAAUCGCAAAACAUGUCCCAAAUCUUGUCUCACAAUAAUAAAAAUAUAUCAUGUUAAUUAUAAAAAUCAAAUAUUUAUUGUUUUUUUUUAUUUUGAGUUUAUUGUUAUUGAUUUGGUAUAUGUAUGAGAAAUGGUUUGGGAUAUUCUUUUUGUGUGUCGCACAGCAAAGUUAACUUUAAAAUUAUGCAUGCUACCUUUUAUAUAUUAAUCUGCAGAGCACUUAAAUCCUUCUGGUGGGGUCUUGCCACAAUCAAGGAGAAGCUGAAGAGCGAUAGGGAGAAAGAUGUUGAUGUUAAGCAAUUUGGCCCUAAUAGUAGUGCAUAGACACACAGCAGCAUCCAAAUCCACGAGCCCUUGAAGCAAUGGACAACAUGUUUGUGUAGCACUUCCACCAAUUCCAAUGUGUAUAAGGCCACCAAGAAUAUCCACACAUGCACCUAGCUUCAAUGUGUCAAUAGGGCAUGUUCCUUGUACUGGUGGUGCCGGUGAUGGUGGUGGUGGAGGACAAGGCGUUUCACUAGGCGGUGUAACCACUGGGGGUGUUGGUGAAGGUGGUGUCACAGUAGGAGGUGGUUUAGGUACGUAGGGAGGUGAUAUGAUAGGUGGUGUAGGUAUAACCGGUGGUAAGGGGACAAAAGGAGGAGGAGGAUACACAAUGGGUGGUUUCACCACCGGUGGCUUAGGCACAUUUGGUGGUGUCACUGGUGGUUUUGGUACAUAAGGUGGUGUCACCACUGGUGGCUUAGGAAUAUAGGGUGGUGUUACAGGCACCACUGGUGGCUUAGGAACAUAGGGUGGUGUAACUGGUGGCUUAGGAACAUAGGGUGGUGUAACUGGUGCCACUGGAGGCUUAGGAACAUAGGGUGGUGUUACUGGCACCACCGGUGGCUUAGGAACAUAGGG